CAUUCGCUCACGCCCAGGUCACCGUGGCCAAUGAGAUCUUCUGUUUCCUGGGGCAACCACCUGUCUUCCUAUUCUGUCCCACUGAGUACUGUAGCUCUCUGUGCAGUCCAAUUAUGUCAAAGUCUUCAUACCUGCUGACUAUUGGGGAUGAUCUUCUCCCUGGCAUCUCUGUCAUUUGGACCGGUGAUAUGACGGGAACUGAAUCCUGAAUCACUAGCUGAGGUCCAGUCGGUGCUUCGACGGCCGCCCCUCAUUUGGGAUAACCUCCAUGCUAAUGAUUAUGACUCCCGACGUGUCUCUCCCCCCCCACCCCCACAGGAGGCCACAGAAGGUCAAAACAUCCUUUCUAUUAAAUAUAUUCUAUUUA
ensembl:lncRNA